AAUUCUCAACCUUUUUGGCUUUUCCUAAAGUCGAUCAGGCUUGGAUGUGGGAGUUUGCGGGCUUUUCUAAAGUCGGCUCUCCUUAAAUUUAUUAGUAGGGACCUCUGUUGCCUUAGCUUUUGGUGUGAUAAUUAUCUACGCCAUCAUGUGAAGCAGCUUUAAACUUGGAGGUUACUGCUCUCUAACUGUCUCACAUGAGACAUUUCCUGACA
rnacentral:misc_RNA from 1 species